rnacentral:rRNA from 1 species
AACGAACGCUGGCGGCAGGCUUAACACAUGCAAGUCGAACGCCCCGCCAGGGGAGUGGCAGACGGGUGAGUAACGCGUGGGAACAUACCCUUUCCUGCGGAAUAGCUCCGGGAAACUGGAAUUAAUACCGCAUACGCCCUACGGGCGAAAGAUUUAUCGGGGAAGGAUUGGCCCGCGUUGGAUUAGCUAGUUGGUGGGGUAAAGGCCUACCAAGGCGACGAUCCAUAGCUGGUCUGAGAGGAUGAUCAGCCACAUUGGGACUGAGACACGGCCCAAACUCCUACGGGAGGCAGCAGUGGGGAAUAUUGGACAAUGGGCGCAAGCCUGAUCCAGCCAUGCCGCGUGAGUGAUGAAGGCCUUAGGGUUGUAAAGCUCUUUCACCGAUGAAGAUAAUGACGGUAGUCGGAGAAGAAGCCCCGGCUAACUUCGUG